rnacentral:rRNA from 1 species
GACGAACGCUGGCGGCGUGCCUAAUACAUGCAAGUCGAGCGAAUCAAAGGGAGCUUGCUCCCUGAGGUUAGCGGCGGACGGGUGAGUAACACGUGGGCAACCUGCCUAUAAGACUGGGAUAACUUCGGGAAACCGGAGCUAAUACCGGAUAAUUCAUAUCUACUCAUGUAGAUAUGCUGAAAGACGGUUUACGCUGUCACUUAUAGAUGGGCCAGCGGCGCAUUAGCUAGUUGGUGAGGUAAUGGCUCACCAAGGCAAAGAUGCGUAGCCGACCUGAGAGGGUGAUCGGCCACACUGGGACUGAGACACGGCCCAGACUCCUACGGGAGGCAGCAGUAGGGAAUCUUCCGCAAUGGACGAAAGUCUGACGGAGCAACGCCGCGUGAGUGAUGAAGGUUUUCGGAUCGUAAAACUCUGUUGUUAGGGAAGAACAAGUACUAGAGUAACUGCUAGUACCUUGACGGUACCUAACCAGAAAGCCACGGCUAACUACGUGCCAGCCGCCGCAGUAAGAC